rnacentral:piRNA from 1 species
CAAAAAAUUUAUCUGACCAAA